GACGAACGCUGGUGGCGUGCUUAACACAUGCAAGUCGAACGGGAUUUAGUAAACAGAAGCCUCGGUGGAAGAUUACUAAUGAGAGUGGCGAACGGGUGAGUAACGCGUGAGCAACCUGCCUAUGACAGUGGGAUAGCCUCGGGAAACCGGGAUUAAUACCGCAUAAAAUCGUAGAAACACAUGUUUUAACGGUCAAAGAUUUAUCGGUCAUAGAUGGGCUCGCGUCUGAUUAGCUAGUUGGUGAGAUAACAGCCCACCAAGGCGACGAUCGGUAGCCGGUCUGAGAGGAUGAACGGCCACAUUGGAACUGAGACACGGUCCAAACUCCUACGGGAGGCAGCAGUGGGGAAUAUUGCACAAUGGGGGAAACCCUGAUGCAGCGACGCCGCGUGAACGAAGAAGGUAUUCGUAUCGUAAAGUUCUGUCCUAUGGGAAGAUAAUGACAGUACCAUAGAAGAAAGCGCCGGCUAAAUACGUG
rnacentral:rRNA from 1 species